rnacentral:rRNA from 1 species
UACGUAGGUGGCAAGCGUUGUCCGGAUUUAUUGGGUUUAAAGGGUGCGUAGGCGGCUUUAUAAGUCAGUGCUGAAAUAUCCCGGCUUAACCGGGAGGGUGGCAUUGAUACUGCAGAGCUUGAGUGAAGUCGAGGUAGGCGGAAUUGACGGUGUAGCGGUGAAAUGCUUAGAUAUCGUCAAGAACACCGAUAGUGAAGACAGCUUACCAGACUUCAACUGACGCUGAGGCACGAAAGUGUGGGGAUCAAACAGG